rnacentral:rRNA from 1 species
AACUAUUGGAAACGAUAGCUAAGACCGCAUAGGUACGGACACUGCAUGGUGACCGUAUUAAAAGUGCCUCAAAGCACUGGUAGGGGAUGGACUUAUGGCGCAUUAGCUGGUUGGCGGGGUAACGGCCCACCAAGGCGACGAUGCGUAGCCGACCUGAGAGGGUGACCGGCCACACUGGGACUGAGACACGGCCCAGACUCCUACGGGAGGCAGCAUG